UACGUAGGAGGCAAGCGUUGUCCGGAAUUACUGGGUGUAGAGCGCGUGUAGGUGGCAGGCCAAGUCUGUUGUGAAAUCGCCCGGCUCAACUGGGCGCGGUCAAUGGAAACUGGUCAGCUGGAGGACGGUAGAGGCGAGUGGAAUUCCCGGUGUAGUGGUGAAAUGCGCAGAUAUCAGGAAGAACACCCGUGGCGAAGGCGGCUCUCUGGGACGGUACUGACGCUGAGACGCGAAAGCGUGGGGAGCAAACAGG
rnacentral:rRNA from 1 species